ACCGGUGCAAUCGUUUGUGGCUAGUGUUACAAGACCAAUCUCUUGCAUUCUUCCCCAUCCGCCCCCACAGAAGAGAAAGUCUGCGCAGCUGCCUCCGGAUUUUGUUCCUCGUCGUAGCAGCCGCCUGGCAAGCAAGGGUUUUAAAUCCAGCAAAGAUGCGCCUAUCAGACAUAUCCAGCAGGAUCUCAUUAGAAGGUUGGGUAUUGCUAGUGGAAAUGAGGCUGUUACCACUGAAGCUCUUGAUAAGUAUGGACGUUUCUUCUCCAAUCCACUAUCGGAGUCCCACAUCAAGGUUCUGGUAGCUUUAUUUGGUUGGACUGUUCCUGAAAACGUGGAGAACUUGGAGACCAUUCAGCUCCUCGCAGGAGAUGCCCCGACGGAUUCUGUUUAGGGGGCGCAUAAUUCUCUCCUUUUUCCAGUUUUUUUGUUGUUAGUCGCUUGUUUAAAUGGAUUUGUCCAAAAUCAUCAUUUGGAAUGUAAGAGGUCUUAAUAAGAAAGCCAGAAGAGAUGCAGUUCGUCAG
rnacentral:misc_RNA from 1 species